GAUGAACGCUGGCGGCGUGCCUAAUACAUGCAAGUCGAGCGAACAGACGAGGAGCUUGCUCCUCUGACGUUAGCGGCGGACGGGUGAGUAACACGUGGAUAACCUACCUAUAAGACUGGGAUAACUUCGGGAAACCGGAGCUAAUACCGGAUAAUAUAUUGAACCGCAUGGUUCAAUAGUGAAAGACGGUUUUGCUGUCACUUAUAGAUGGAUCCGCGCCGCAUUAGCUAGUUGGUAAGGUAACGGCUUACCAAGGCAACGAUGCGUAGCCGACCUGAGAGGGUGAUCGGCCACACUGGAACUGAGACACGGUCCAGACUCCUAAGGGAGGCAGCAGUAGGGAAUCUUCCGCAGUGGGCGAAAGCCUGACGGAGCAACGCCGCGUGAGUGAUGAAGGUCUUCGGAUCGUAAAACUCUGUUAUUAGGGAAGAACAAAUGUGUAAGUAACUAUGCACGUCGUGACGGUACCUAAUCAGAAAGCCACGGCUAACUACGUG
rnacentral:rRNA from 1 species